GGGUUUUGCUAAGUGUAAGAGUUAAAGUUGGGGGACACUGAGGCAGUAUAAAUUAGUUUCUCUCUGCAAGGAGUAUUAUAUUUUUAGAGGUUUAUUAAAGGAUUAAAGAAAAUACAGAAUAAGAGAACACGUGUCUAGGCCUCUGGCCUAGACAACCUCACCUACAUUAUGAAAAGAGUCUGCGUGUAAGCUGAAACAGGAAAGAAAAGAGAGGCCCAGAAGCCUUUCCAAUCAGGUUAAAUACCCCAUCUUGAUCUCGGCCCAGGUGAGAAUUCCGUGAUAUUACAAAGCAUUCUGGGGAAGUGGAGCAAGGACUUCUGGGGAUUGAAGUCCUGGACUCAAGUCUCCAUUUUUACAUAAGUUAGUGACAGGAGUAUGAAUCCUGUCAGACUGUCAGACUGCCUUGGGUGGAACCUUGUGCUAAGGUCUUGCUUAGGAAUUCUGAGACACCCAAGGAAUUGGAAGUUCUGUUAAGCCCAACUGUCUCUCUCUGCUGGUGUUCCCUGCCCAGAGAGAAGGCUAAAGCUUUGGCUCCUGGGAAUUCCUUGAACUGGCCUGACAGUUUUGGAAAGAAGAGAAAGUUGGAAGUUUUGGGAAGAGCUGUGAAAGGAACAAAUAGAGCAACCUGGUUCUAUGGCAUCUGCAGAGUGCUACACCAACAGACAAAACAAGGUGUCAACCCGCCUCAUGUGUGUUUGUUGAAGACAACAUAUGGUAGGGUUUUGGAUUCUAAUCCAUUCUGCUAUUCGUCUACGUUUUAUGGGUGAGUUCAUCCAAUUCACAUUCAAAGUUAUGACUGUCAUUUGUGGACUCCCUGGCAUUUUGAUAUUCUUCCCUGGUUCUAACCUUUUCUUCUUCGGCUCUACCUUUUAGUCCAGUGAUUUACUUUAAAUUGGUCCCCCUUGUCCCCUCCCUUGAUAUGUUUCCCUUUUUAGUCCCUCCCUUUUUGUUCCCUCCCCUUCCCCCCCUCUCUUUCCCUCCCCUUUUGUUUUCCCUCUCGCCCUCCC
rnacentral:lncRNA from 1 species